rnacentral:rRNA from 1 species
CACGUAGGGUCCGAGCGUUGUCCGGAAUUACUGGGCGUAAAGCGCGCGCAGGCGGUUUGGCGCAUCGGCGGUGAAAGCCCCCCGCUUAACGGGGGAGGGUCCGUCGCGAUGGCCAGACUGGAGGCAGGGAGAGGGCGGUGGAAUUCCGGGUGUAGUGGUGAAAUGCGUAGAGAUCCGGAGGAACACCAGUGGCGAAGGCGGCCGCCUGGACCUGACCUGACGCUGAGGCGCGAAGGCGCGGGGAGCGAACGGG